AGUCAACACACAGAGGGUGUCUCAGUACAUCGUUUCCCCAUGAAUGACAAGGAGAGGCUGAGUAAAUGGACAAAAUUUGUUAGGAGACAUAGGCCAAAAUUCGUUCCUCAGCAGUACUCUGUGCUAUGUUCAAUGCAUUUCACAGAUUCUGCAUUCACGGUGAACGCAACAGUUGCAAAAUCGCGAAACAUGAGACGACAAUUGCGCUCUGAUGCUGUUCCAACCAUAGACUCUGUAAAAGGCAUUUCAAUCCAAGGUGUUGCGUGAAGUGACACGAAGUGUAAAAGAUGUUGAACCCGCUGUUAAACAUACUGAUGAUGAAGGCAAUUCCGACGAGUGUAACACGACAGAAUGUCUCGAAGGUUUUCAUUCAACAUUAAAUGGUUGGCAUCCAAAGAUGACCCACUUUUCUUGGCUUGGUACAUAUUGCAGGUAACUUGUAAUCACUGUUCUCUAUCUGCCAAGGCUUUUUUACUUGUUCCUAGUCAAGAAAAAAAAUUACAUAUUAAAUGGUUUGUUCUGUUUAGGCACGUACUGGCAGUACUUCAUUUCAAUGAAAACCUUCACAGACAGCCAAAAAAACCAAAAAAUAGAACACCAUAUUAUUCUGUGACAUACCCAAAAUUUAAAUCAGGGGAUGAAGUAGUAAGAACUGUUUCUUCAGCACCAUCAUAUUGUAAGUUUAGCAUGUAUGCAUUGGUACUCUUGACUUACACAUCUAACCACUUGUCAUUUUUCCAGACUAUGUUAAUGAAAUCAAAAUGUCAUGGUUCUUAGUUGUGAGGAAUCCAUGGACAACAUAUUUAAGAAGUAUAAGGAAAAAGUCCCAGAAGCCUUAAACAAAACGUUCUCGGAUCGAAUUUCCAAAACUGAGGCAAUCCAACGGCAUUUGGAUAGGAAACAACUAUCUUCAACACCAUUGUUUCCCACAUAUCAACAGCAAGAUGUACUGCAAGCAAAAGGUUUAGACAAAGAAAAACAAGCUGCUUCAACAGGUCCUUCAGAU